GCAAAGUCUGGGCCACACCCGUCUACUGCAUCAGAAACUCUGGAAUCUGGGUCUUAACAAACCCUCCAAGUGAUCCUGAUGCCAGCUCAAGUUUGACCCCAGAUUAGAGGGACACAAUGAGAAGGCUGGCACUCCAGGGUGGGACCUUCCCCGGGUCCCCCAAAGCAUCAGUCAAGUCUACCCAGGUGAUGAAUUUGCUUCGUGCAAGGGUUUAGGAGCAUGGAGUCCAAUCCUCCCGGCUCUAAGCAGGACCCAGCCAGCCUGCUCUACCCAGAGCCUUCCUUAGCUACUCCCAGCCACGCAAUGUCAAUCACAACCUCCUGCCUCUCCGGCAGGCCAGGCUCCAGGUGACAAAGGGACAGCUUAAGCUAGCGGUUGGCAAACAUUUUCUGUAAAGGCCCAGAGAGUCAAUCUCUUCAGGUCAUACAGUCUCUGCUGCAACGAGCCGACGUCGCGUGAAAGCAGCCAGACAGCGUGUGAGUGAACGCGAGAGGCCGUGUUCC
rnacentral:lncRNA from 1 species